CCCGCGGUGUGGCCCUCUCCCUCUCUGCACAAUGUUCAAUGAGUGGGCGCGCUUUCUUCACCACUCACCUCCGGGCCACCAGGGGCCGCUCCCGAGCUAGGCAGGUCCGAGUGUUGCUGGUUCCCUGUGCUGCUACCAAAGUGGGUGGCUGCCGAGUGCGGGCUCAGUCUUCCUGGUCCCUGUUUUCCUCCUCCACAGCCUGAGACCUAAAGCAGCCUCCCUCUGGCUGGGGCUGCCGCAGCACAGCCUUCUCGGCUCCCCCAGUCUGCGAAGUGCUGACCAGGUGGAGCCCCGCAGGCUCAGAGGCCUCCUUCGACCCCCCCACCCCUACUUGAUGCCUGCUCCGUGAGCCGGGCCCCGCUGGCUCCGUGGGAGGGCUCCCUGGCCUCCCGCCUCCCACGGGCCUUGCAGCUGCCUGUCAGGGCAGCCAAGCCUCUGCUCCCUCCAGGGCCAGUCCUCGGGGCUCUGCCCUGUCCCCGAGGGCACUGCUGAGGGCGCGCCCGUGGCCACUUAUCGUCCUCGUCCUCGUCCUGGGAGAGUCCUCUGAGUGCCUUCUCUGCCCCCAGAUCCCGGCCCUGGCCCCGUGCCAACAGCAGCUCCCGCAGCUCCUCCCCGGCAAAGGACAUGGAUGACGGCAAAGUGAGCAUGGCCAUGAAGAGGCCCCCAGACUAUCCAGGGCCCCCGUUCCUGAGAGGCCCCAUGCCGCCCCCCCGUGGGCUAUGGGCCGCCGCAGCCACCACCACCCUCAGGCCCUUCAGGCCUCGGCCGAUGCCUCGUAGGCCAGCGCCACCAUUCGUUACGUCCCUUGCAGGGGCCCACCACUGGGCUUAAGAGAGUACGUGCCCGGCAUCCAACCCAGAUGCCGCAACCUGCCGCUGCACCCCGGCCAGUUCUUGCCAGGACCUGUGCCAUUUAGGCCUCCAGGCCCGCUCAGCCCCUGAGAGUAUUUCAUUCCUGCUCCUGAAUGCCACCACCGCCUGCUGGGCCCAGGACUACCCACUGCUGCCUGCCACAGGGGAGCCCCAGCUCUCAGGGCUGAGAGAGGCCUCAGCCUCACCACUAAGCAGCCAGGAACCUGCCCAGGCUUGAGGCAGAGCCCUUAAUGGCCCCACUACUCACAGGGCCAAGGUUUUUAUUGGAUUUGGAAUUCUUUUUAAAAGGAAGUUCGUUUUAGUAGGUUUUUAGUAUUAAGCUCCUGGUCCUCACUUCCUUUGGUUUGAUGUUGCUGAGACCUAAAAACAUAAACCUGGAAACCCACUAUUAAAAUGUAGCCCAA
rnacentral:lncRNA from 1 species